UUUACAGAUCCAGACUGACACAGCUACCCCUCUGAUAGCAGAGACAGUGGCAGUGCAAGUUUCCCUCCUUACCUGUCAGUAUCCCUCAACCCUGCCCUGGAAGGACUAUCCCUGGCAGGAAGAAGAGUUCAGCCAUCAUACCCAUUUGAUCCUUGGCCUCU
rnacentral:sRNA from 1 species